UAAAUACUAGGUUUUUGAUAAUUAAGCUUCUCCCUAUAUACUUUGGGGGUCUUGAACAUCGUGCCUAGUGCUCAUAGCCUCUGAGAUGGUUCCUAAUGAUCCCUGCAUCCUCUUCACCUCCAGAAUGACUUAUCUCUCAUGGAUAAAUUGUGGCAGAAGUGAAGGAAGCUCACUGCUGAGGUUAGAUUAUGAAGAGCCUGUGCUUCUGUCUUGGUCCCCUCUUGCUCUCUUGCUAGUUGGCUCUGCUGGAAGACAGCUGUCUUGCUGUGAACUGCUCUGUGGACAUAGGACUAGAUGGAAUCCCAGAAGAACCUGGUUGUAAAUGGGUAGGGGUGAAGGAAGUGUGCAGCUCCCUUCACAUCCCAUCAUGGGACUUUGGAGGCUACUGUUCCAGAGUGUGGAGCCAACAGGAAGAGAAAGCACCUAGGAACCACUAACAGCCACAGUCAUGGCUACUGCCCGAUGGACAAGGAUGACCACUUCUGCAAGGGUGUCGCUUCAGUCCCUCUGUCUCCUAAGGAAGAAGAGCAAUUCUUUGGUUUGUCCUUAGCAAGGAAUCCUUUACUAAGAAAACAGACACCCUCUCUUUCUAGUCUUCAUCCCCAAAGCAUUUCAACUCAGCCUCUGUGCUAGCACAAAGGAGCAGGGAGCGCUCCUUCUUCCUGAAGACAACAUUCCCUUCUUCCCUGCCAUCUCCUCAGGGACGUCCAUUCAUCUGUUGCAGCCUCCAUCUGAGAUGAGGAUCUGAGUGAUUAUUCCUCCCGGCUCACACACUGGUAUCCUCCCUCAUCCUCCAAGGAUGCUUGUGCCAACUCACUGUGGAUGCAGAUGCUGUGCAGAGGCAAUGGACCAGUCUCUAGAAUUCCUAGGAGGCUGUGCUGAGAGUGUGUCACUGCACAUACAGGAAGGGAAGCAACAGACUUGUCAGGUGGCAAGGCAAACCUUUACGUUUCCUUCCUGCAAAUACAUAAAUCCAAACUGCUCAGCCUGUACGUUCAUUCAUUUUUGAGGCUGAUAACCCUUAAAAUAAUAUAAAGGAGGUUGAAAAAUCUAGAGUUCUGUACUUCUAUAUCUCAUUCCCAUGUCUGACCAGCAGAAGAGCUGGAGGAUAUAAUAAAUUCUAAGAGCAGAGUUAACAAGUUGUUGAGAACAGGUAGUUUAUAUCUUCUGGAAUUAUAACUGAUUAGGAAUAUAUCCAGGAGCCUUCACCUACAGCUUUGGGGUCAAAAUUGCUUUGAAUUUGGAGUUUCAUUUGAUACCCCCCCACCCACCCACACACAUACACGUUUCUAUAUUGCUUAGUGCUAUGAUGGCAAAGUUGAGCUCUUUGGACAGACAAAUGUGGCCAGCAAAACCUAAGGAAUUUGCUAUCUGGCCCUUUGUGGGCAAGGUUUUGCUAACUCAUAAUUUCUUAUUCUCAGUUUCCAGCCAUGGACUCCCAGACACCUAUGAAGUUAUUUUAAAGGACACCCAUGAGUUUGUGAGGUUUUGUUUUGUUUGUUUUGUUUUGUUUGUUUUGUUUGUUUGUUGUUGUUGCUUUGUUUUAUUUUGUUUGUUUUUAACAGUGUGAAUAUCAAAGGAGAAUUUUUAUUUAACUUAUGUUUUGAUAAACAAAAUGAUUUCCAAGUUU
rnacentral:lncRNA from 1 species